GGCCCAGUAGCUCAGCUGGAUAGAGCACUUGACUACGAAUCAAGGUGUCGGGAUUUCGAAUCUCUCCUGGGUCACCA
rnacentral:tRNA from 1 species